rnacentral:rRNA from 1 species
GUAGGGUGCGAGCGUUGUCCGGAAUUAUUGGGCGUAAAGGGCUCGUAGGCGGUUUGUCACGUCGGGAGUGAAAACUCAGGGCUCAACCCUGAGCCUGCUUCCGAUACGGGCAGACUAGAGGUAUGCAGGGGAGAACGGAAUUCCUGGUGUAGCGGUGAAAUGCGCAGAUAUCAGGAGGAACACCGGUGGCGAAGGCGGUUCUCUGGGCAUUACCUGACGCUGAGGAGCGAAAGUGUGGGGAGCGAACAGGAUUAGAUACCCUGGUAGUCCACACCGUAAACGUUGGGCGCUAGGUGUGGGACUCAUUCCACGAGUUCCGUGCCGCAGCUAACGCAUUAAGCGCCCCGCCUGGGGAGUACGGCCGCAAGGCUA